AUUGAACGCUGGCGGCAGGCCUAACACAUGCAAGUCGAGCGGAUGAAGGGAGCUUGCUCCUGGAUUCAGCGGCGGACGGGUGAGUAAUGCCUAGGAAUCUGCCUGGUAGUGGGGGAUAACGUCCGGAAACGGGCGCUAAUACCGCAUACGUCCUGAGCGAGAAAGUGGGGGAUCUUCGGACCUCACGCUAUCAGAUGAGCCUAGGUCGGAUUAGCUAGUUGGUGGGGUAAAGGCCUACCAAGGCGACGAUCCGUAACUGGUCUGAGAGGAUGAUCAGUCACACUGGAACUGAGACACGGUCCAGACUCCUACGGGAGGCAGCAGUGGGGAAUAUUGGACAAUGGGCGAAAGCCUGAUCCAGCCAUGCCGCGUGUGUGAAGAAGGUCUUCGGAUUGUAAAGCACUUUAAGUUGGGAGGAAGGGCAGUAAGUUAAUACCUUGCUGUUUUGACGUUACCAACAGAAUAAGCACCGGCUAACUUCGUG
rnacentral:rRNA from 1 species